GACGAACGCUGGCGGCGUGCCUAACACAUGCAAGUCGAACGGGGUUGAGCCCUUCGGGACUCAACUUAGUGGCGAACGGGUGAGUAACGCGUGAGAAACCUGCCUUUCAGUGGGGGACAACAGUUGGAAACGACUGCUAAUACCGCAUAACGUAUUUAGGGGGCAUCCCUUGAAUACCAAAGCUUUAUGUGCUGAAAGAUGGUCUCGCGUCUGAUUAGCUAGAUGGCGGGGUAACGGCCCACCAUGGCGACGAUCAGUAGCCGGUCUGAGAGGAUGAACGGCCACAUUGGGACUGAGAUACGGCCCAGACUCCUACGGGAGGCAGCAGUGGGGAAUAUUGGGCAAUGGGGGAAACCCUGACCCAGCAACGCCGCGUGAAGGAAGAAGGCCUCGGUUGUAACGUUCUUUUAGUCAGGGACGAAGGACGUGACGGUACCUGCAGAAAAAGACAACGGCGUAACUACGUG
rnacentral:rRNA from 1 species